ensembl:snRNA U6 U6 spliceosomal RNA
GGCAGCACUCACUUUGACUGUCCAUAUACUAAAACAGAAAUGAUACAGAGAAUAUUAAGAUUGACCCUGAACAAGGAAGACACAUAAAUUCAUAAAGCAUUCUAUAUUUUU